rfam:Metarhizium majus ARSEF 297 Scaffold_95, whole genome shotgun sequence.
CGCCUUAAGCUUAUGGAUAUAUUUAAGUAACGGCCUCUAAGUUUAUAUUAUCUAAAGAUUUAAACGAUGAGAAAAUCUUUUUUACUAAGGACGACAUUUUAGUGUAAAAUGUACUGGAAAAAUAGUAAAUAUAUUUAUAGUUAGCUUAGCUUCUAUAAAUGAAGAAUAACCGUACCUAGAAUCUGAAACAAGUAAGCUAGUAGAGAAUACGAAGGCGUAAAUGAGCUAACAAUCAUAAAGGAACUCGGCAAAUUGACUACCGUAACUUCGGAAUAAGGAGGGCUCAUUAUUCUUGAUUAAUAUCAAGUAAAGAGGAAGAAGCAUGAAAUAAUGUUGUACGACUGUUUAAUUAAAACACAGCACUCUGCUGAAAGAUUAAAAAUCUAAGUAUAGAGUGUGAUAUCUGCCCGGUGCCGGCUGGUUAACAGAGAUAAUUGAAUAUACUACUAUUUGAUGUCGACGGAAACCCCGGUUAAAGGCGGCCUUAACGUGAGGGUCCUAAGGUAGCGAAAUGCCUUGGCCGUUAAAUGCGGUCUUGCAUGAAUGGUGUAACGAUACAACAGCUGUCUCUAUGAUUGACUCAGUGAAAUUGGAAUAGCAGUGCAGAUACUGCU